rnacentral:rRNA from 1 species
UAGGGAAUCUUCGGCAAUGGACGGAAGUCUGACCGAGCAACGCCGCGUGAGUGAAGAAGGUUUUCGGAUCGUAAAGCUCUGUUGUUAGAGAAGAACGUUGGCAGGAGUGGAAAAUCUACCAAGUGACGGUAACUAACCAGAAAGGGACGGCUAACUACGUGCCAGCAGCCGCGGUAAUACGUAGGUCCCGAGCGUUGUCCGGAUUUAUUGGGCGUAAAGCGAGCGCAGGCGGUUCUUUAAGUCUGAAGUUAAAGGCAGUGGCUUAACCAUUGUACGCUGUGGAAACUGGAGGACUUGAGUGCAGAAGGGGAGAGUGGAAUUCCCUGUGUAGCGGUGAAAUGCGUAGAUAUAUGGAGGAACACCGGUGGCGAAAGCGGCUCUCUGGUCUGUAACUGACGCUGAGGCUCGAAAGCGUGGGGAGCAAACAGG